rnacentral:rRNA from 1 species
UACGUAGGGUCCGAGCGUUGUCCGGAAUUACUGGGCGUAAAGAGCUCGUAGGUGGUUUGUCGCGUUGUUCGUGAAAUCUCACGGCUUAAACUGUGAGCGUGCGGGCGAUACGGGCAGACUAGAGUACUGCAGGGGAGACUGGAAUUCCUGGUGUAGCGGUGGAAUGCGCAGAUAUCAGGAGGAACACCGGUGGCGAAGGCGGGUCUCUGGGCAGUAACUGACGCUGAGGAGCGAAAAGCGUGGGGGAGCGAACAGG